UCUCGUCUGUGCCUGUAAAUCAACAAAACCAACAAUCCCGGCGCAGCCACGGUUUCCCUGGUGUUGGCGCAGUAUUCGCGCACCCCGGUUUAUC
rnacentral:sRNA from 1 species